rnacentral:lncRNA from 1 species
GCAGAACCUUGAGAAGAAGCUAGCAUUAGACAGGCUGCUAAAGGAGGGACCGACAUGGUAGGAUGAGUGUCUUCAUAGGAAGAAGAGGAGACACCAGAGCUCUCCUUCUCUGCCAUGUGAGGACACAGAGAGAAAGACGUUAUAUGCAAGGUAGGAAGAGCAUCCCUAGGCCAGAACCCACCCAACUGCAACAGCUCUUGAUCUCUGACUUCCAGCCUCCAGGAUAUGAGAAAAUAAAUUUCUGCUGUUUAAGCUCUCUGGUUUAUGGUGUUUUUUACAGAAGCUGAAGCAGAUUCAUUCAUGAGUGAAAGAUCACAGAUACCUAACCAAGAAAUCUUAAUGGAGCCUUUCAUGAAGAUAGCUCCAAAGAUGAAGAAGGAAGCUCCUGUUCCACCAAAGAUGAAGCCAAAGCAAAGGCUUUGAGUUAAAAAAACAAAAACAGUGUAAAAAGGCAUGCACAGUCACACAAAAAAAGAAGAUUCACAUGUCACCUACAUUCCAAUGACCCAAACCCCUGUGUCUCUCAAGGCAGCCCAAAUAUCCUCGAAAGAGCACCCCCAGGAGAGACAAGCUUGAUCACUAUGCCAUCAUCAAGUUUCCCCUGACUACCGAGUCAACCUUGAAGAAUAUAGAAGACAACAACACACGUGUGUUCAUUGUGGAUGUCAAGGCCAAUAAGUACCAGAUCAAACAGACUGUGAAGAAGUUCUACAACAUUGAUGUGGCCAAGGUCAACACCUUGAUCAGGCCCGAUGGAGAGAUGAAGGCAUAUGGUCAACUGGCUUCUGCCUAUGAUGCCUUGGAUGUUGCCAACAAAAUUGGGAUCAUCUAAAGUCACUGAGGAGCCUAUGUUCAGUCCUAAGAUAUACACACACCAUCAACGUUUUAGCUGUGUUUGCUUUCAGAUGAUUAUUGUCUCAUUUUAUGGAGUAGAAAAAGUAAAUACAGUAGAAUACAAACAGGUGAUCAGAUUCAAGUGCACCCAAGCCAGCACUCUACUUUGGGGAUUUAAUUCUUCGUUACGUGUCUGCAAUGCAAACAAACGAAUCAGAAAUACAUACAGACACACAUCUCUUUUAAUGUUUGGAUCCCAGUCAGCCUUUGCUAUCCCAUAGAAGAGUAGGGCAGUCAUCAGGGAUGAAGCAGAGGUGCGUGUCUGAACGCCGUGGUUUGACAUGUCAGGUGUUGUGUGGUUGUGGAGAGUCUUAACACUCAGGCAUACUUAAAGCCCCAUGAGGAUCUGUGCAGUCAUACUUGGCUCUGAGUGGAAGGAUUGUGGUAGGGACAUCGGGGUUGGACACCUGAGAUCUAGCAGGAAAGGCCAGGAGAUGUGAGACACAGGAAAUGACAUCAGUGCAAAUGGACAGUCGUGGGACAUUUCUGCCUUCUGGGGAUUUUGUUCAGGAGCGUGUGGCAGGCCCUGCAGCAAGAGGUGCCAGUUAACAUCCUGUUGCCUCCUUCCCUGCAGAACGAGCUGCAGAGCGGAGAGAAACCCAUCCUUCUGGGGUCCAGUAGCAAUGAGUGGAUCUGGCCUUAUGUUUG